UUCUGAUUUAUCAAUCUUGUUUUCAGAACUAGAUAUACCGGAGAAAUUUUGUGAAACAUUCCUCGGUAAGUAAUGGGUUUUGCAUUGUAAAUAAAUAAUUAGAAAGUUUCUUUCAGAUAUUAAAACUUUGAUAUCAUUAUCGGCAGUUGAAAUCAUCGAUAAAUUUUCUAAUGGUGGUAUUGCUCCUGAAAUUUACGAAACAUAUUUCAGUGAAUUAUAUAAAUGGAAGUCCCAUGAUCUUGUUCCAGUAAUAUUGAAGGACCUAGAUUUACCGUUAGAAUUUUUCAACUUGUGGAAAGACUUUCACCUUGGCAUUCAGGAUUUGCAAAGCAUCUCGCCGGAUGAGUUAAAUGACAUUUUGGAUCGUUCUCAAAUUAACUGGGAUCAAGAAGAAAUUUAUAGAAGACUUGUAAGCUGGCGAGGUGUAAAGGGUAUUCUCGACUCGAAGAAAUUGAUGCAAUCGAAAAAGAAUAUUCACCCGAAAGUGUCGCGUAUAUAGGAGACAACAAAGCUGUGAGUGAUAACUUCGCAAGCCUCAGUAACGGUUUUGACCAGUCGAGUUUACAAGCGCAGGGAGCAUUUAAGGAAACGCAAAGUGGCGAUAGAAAUACUAAUAAAGGUGAUGAUUGUAUUGUAGAUAUACACAGCCAAACAGACUUGGUGAACGAAGCGGAUAGCAGUGAUAUCCCAGAUCAAAGAGUAGUUAUUAGUUACACUGACAACGCGGAUUGCCAAACCUCAAAUGUUGCGGCUGUAGCAGGGUGUAACAUAACACAAAGUUGUUCGGGAGAAACAUCUGGUAGAUAUUUUAAAAUACUUUAAGGGUGAAACGAUUCAAUGGACUAUAAUAACAUAUGGAUGUUAAGCAUAAUUCAAACAAAACAGAUGCAAUAUAAAAUAAUGUAUUAAA